UACGAAGGGGGCUAGCGUUGCUCGGAAUCACUGGGCGUAAAGGGUGCGUAGGCGGAUCUUUAAGUCAGGGGUGAAAUCCUGGAGCUCAACUCCAGAACUGCCUUUGAUACUGAGGAUCUCGAGUUCGGGAGAGGUGAGUGGAACUGCGAGUGUAGAGGUGAAAUUCGUAGAUAUUCGCAAGAACACCAGUGGCGAAGGCGGCUCACUGGUCCGGUACUGACGCUGAGGUGCGAAAGCGUGGGGAGCGAACAGG
rnacentral:rRNA from 1 species